rnacentral:rRNA from 1 species
CAGCCGCCGCGGGAAUACCGAGGCCUCAAGCGUUGUUCGGAUUCAUUGGGCGUAAAGGGAGCGUAGGCGGUCGGGUAAGUCAGAGGUGAAAGCCUGGAGCUCAACUCCAGAACUGCCUUUGAGACUGCAUCGCUUGAAUCCAGGAGAGGUGAGUGGAAUUCCGAGUGUAGAGGUGAAAUUCGUAGAUAUUCGGAAGAACACCAGUGGCGAAGGCGGCUCACUGGACUGGUAUUGACGCUGAGGUGCGAAAGCGUGGGGAGCAAACAGGAUUAGAUACCCCCGUAGUCCCUGUCUCUUAUAC